CUUCUUCCUGUGCUGCCCACAAAGUGUGGUUCACAUGUUGUUUUCUCUCUCUUGCUCUCUCUCUCUCAAUCUCUCUCUCUCCCUCCAUUUCUGUCUCUCUCUAUCUGGUAUAGUUCAACAUUUAAUGUUCUGUUUAUCUUUCAGCAUUACUACUUAUAUAACUGUAAGUUAAUAAUAUAAUGUGAAUUGGAAAAAAAAACAUUGAAAAGCCUUUAUUGUCAUUGUAUUUGCAUACAACAAAAUUUGGAACACUGCUCCAGUUGGUGCCAAGAGGGACAACAUACGUAUAACAACACAACAAUACAAUAAGCUAAAAAAGAUUAAGAGCACAACAAAGUGAUGUGGUAUGGAGUACAAGUACUCCCCCUGAGGAAGGAAAUCAAACCCACACGCUGAAUUGAAGUUAAUUUCUGUUCUACACUGGGUGCAGUCUGAAGGAACGAAACAUGCCAUCAACUAGGACUUUGUCUUUGCUGGUUCAAGUGGUCUUUGUUCAUUACACAGCUGGGUCACCUGUGUCUGUGUUCAGACCCACUGGAGGAUCUGCCACUCUGGAGUUCCAGGGACACCAGCAGCUGGAGAAGAAGAGUAUAGAUCUCAUACAGUGGUACUUUGGCCUGGAAAAAAUAAUGAAAUAUUCCCCUUUGAGAGACACCGUUACCGUAUUCACCCAUCAAGACAGAGUGGAGUUUAACAAAGAGACCUUCUCUCUGGAGCUGAAGAACCUGCAGAAGAAUGACAGUGGACUCUACAGAGGAGAGAUCAGUGCUGUAAAAACUGAGGUUAAGGUUGAAUACAUGCUCUCUGUUCUGGAUCCAGUGGAGUCCCCUGGCCUGUCUGUUGUCUCUAACUGGACCAGCUGUGACUCCUGUUAUGUGACCUGUAAAGGUCAUGACCUCUCUCUGACCUCCGCCUGUAACUGCAGCACCUGCUCUCCAGAGGAAGAACAUUCCACUGACUCGAACCUCACCCUCUCUGUCAGAAGUGGUGUUGUCAUUUGUAACUAUAGCAACCAAGUCAGCUGGAGUAAUGAUGCAAAGGAUAUCAAACUACUGUGCCCUACAGAUCCUGUGGAGUCCCCUGUCCUGUCCGUUGUCUCUAACUGGACCAGCUGUGACGCCUGUAAUGUGACCUGUAAAGGUCAUGACCUCUCUCUGACCUCCACCUGUAACUACAGCACCUGCUCCCCAGAGGGUGGAGCCUCCACUGACUCCACCCUCUCUCUCUCUGUCAGAAGUGGUGUUGUCAUUUGUAACUAUAGUAACCUAGUCAGCUGGAGUAAUGAUACAAAGGAUUUCAAACUACUGUGCUGUACAGAACAAAGUGUGCCUGCUUGGAUUGGAAUAAUAAUUGCAAUUGCAAUUUUGGGUGUUGCUGUGCUGAUUGCUUUGCUAUGGCGGAAAUCAGCAAACCCAUGGCCAAUCAGAUGCUGCCGUGAGCCAGGAGAGACACACAGUGAGACUGGGACUGGAGGCUGAGGAACCAGGAAACGUCCCGCCCAGUUCUGCCCAGUCCUUGCCCAAGCUGCAUUGGGGAUGUAGAGACCAUGAUAGAUCAGGGUUGAUCUAUUUAAUGAAGUAUAGUAUUGACAAGCUUAUAAUAAUUGGUAAUGAUUGGUCUUUUUUGAAAAUGAGACAAAUGUUUUACCCUAAAUCUGCAAUAUGUGUGGUAUGCAAUGAUCGUGAUAUAGUGCUUUAAUUGUGUUAUUUAGUAUAGUCUUUCCAUAGUAGUUAAUGCAGUAUCUCAGAUAACUUAUGCCCAGACAGUCAUCUACUAGUAAAUGUGUUUAAUGCCUUUCUAUAGAUUUUGUAUUGAUUUUGUGAUUGAUUUGAGUGCCUUUGGUGAGGUUGGUGAGUUUUCUGUGAUGAAGUGUUUCAGCAGCUGUUUGAAGUGAAUAAAGUGGCCUCUUAAUCUUAGGGACAAUACUGUCAUAUUGGACUGUGUUUUUAAGGUCACAUUGUGUUUUAAUCUUAGGGACAUACACUGUCAUAUUGGACUGUGUUUUUAAGGUCACAUUGUGCUUUGAAGUGAAUAAAGUGGCCUCUUAAUCUUAGGGACAUACACUGUCACUUUGGACUGUGUUUUAAGGUCACAUUGUGCUGUAGAUAUUUCCACCAGGAAGCUACCUCACAGAAAUGACUUCUCACUGUCUUAAGUGUGUUUGUAAUGUCAGCACACAAACAUCCUGUGUCUGUUCCAGUAAAAUAGAGAAUUGUC